UGUUUUGCUGUCCCAAAGGCACACGGGAGUCUGCGGGAAAAAAACUGGCGACGUUUUCUCUUGGAUAUUCAGAAAAUGGAGACACUCGGCGAUCUGGCUCUGCUGCAGGACCGUGUGUAACUACUUAGAAGCAUGAAAUAGCUAUGUAGCCAUCUGCCCAGCCAAGUACAAGGGAUGGCAAGGCAGCUUGAAGGUGGUCACGACCAUCUCGCAGAGAUGGUGCAAGCUGCCAAGAAUCAGGGUGCUAGGGCACUGCACUUCACCGCCGGGUGCAAGAUGGUGGAAGUGUGUGAGUACCUGUUGAGGAUUUCCAGGUGGACGUGGAUGUCGUUGACCAAGCAGAUUUUGCCUAUUCUCUAAGAUGGAUGAUGAUGAGCGGUGCAACCGAAAAUUCAGAGCUGGGCUUUACACACUUCAGUGGGAGUAGCAUGACAACACCAAGGUAGAGACCUGAAGAGAAGAAGGGAAUGGACCAAGGAAACUAGAACCGUGUUGUCAUGAUGUGGGUCGUGUCGUCUUCGUCCAUCUCCAUGGAGGCAUAUAUACAUAGGUUAGUCAUAGGAAAGGAGACCGUCUCCAUGGAACUCUGACUGAUGUGUAAUGUCCUCAUAGGACUGGACCGUUUACAGAGGGAGUACUUGAAAAUAGAUUCUUUAUAUAUUGUUUGGUUCCAUCAGCCGCAUAACCUAAAUUAGCAAUUUGGUA